rnacentral:rRNA from 1 species
UCUACGCGCGGCAGCAGUGGGGAAUAUUGGACAAUGGGCGAAAGCCUGAUCCAGCCAUGCCGCGUGUGUGAAGAAGGCCUUCGGGUUGUAAAGCACUUUCAGUGGGGAAGAAAGCCUUGGGGCUAAUACCCUCGAGGAAGGACAUCACCCACAGAAGAAGCACCGGCUAACUCCGUGCCAGCAGCCGCGGUAAUACGGAGGGUGCGAGCGUUAAUCGGAAUUACUGGGCGUAAAGCGCGCGUAGGCGGUCUGAUAAGCCGGUUGUGAAAGCCCCGGGCUCAACCUGGGAACGGCAUCCGGAACUGUCAGGCUAGAGUGCAGGAGAGGAAGGUAGAAUUCCCGGUGUAGCGGUGAAAUGCGUAGAGAUCGGGAGGAAUACCAGUGGCGAAGGCGGCCUUCUGGACUGACACUGACGCUGAGGUGCGAAAGCGUGGGUAGCAAACAGGAUUAGAUACCCGAGUAGUC